rnacentral:misc_RNA from 1 species
GAUGAAGAACGUAGCGAAAUGCGAUAAGCAAUGUGAAUUGCAGAAUUCAGUGAAUCAUCGAGUCUUUGAACGCACAUUGCGCCCCCUGGUAUUCCGGGGGGCAUGCCUGUCCGAGCGUCAUUGCCGCCCUCAAGCACGGCUUGUGUGUUGGGCCCCCGCCCCCCGGCUUCGGGGGGCGGGCCCGAAAGGCAGCGGCGGCACCGCGUCCGGUCCUCGAGCGUAUGGGGCUUCGUCACCCGCUCUGUAGGCCCGGCCGGCGCCCGCCGGCGACCCCAAUCAAUCUUUCCAGGUUGACCUCGGAUCAGGUAGGGAUACCCGCUGAACUUAAGCAUAUCAAUAAGCGGAGGA